GGAGGGGUGGCCGAGCGGUCCAAGGCGGCGGUUUGCUAAACCGUGGCGGGGCAAAAACCCCGCCCGUGGGUUCGAAUCCCACCCCCUCCGCCA
rnacentral:tRNA from 3 species